UGAUAGAAAAGCACCAUAUUUUUAUUUAUUUGUUUGUCUCAUUUGUAUAUAACCCAACUGGCGACAUCCUUGGGCUGUUUAAACCAAUGUUAGUAAAAGACAAAAGCAGUCCAUAAAAGCACAAAUUGUACCAUAAAAACAAAUCAGGCAAGCCAAACGGCAUCAAAAUAUUACGCCACUAGGAUGUUACAAACCACAAUGCAAUUUAAACAGAAAAAAAAAAUCUAUGGCUCAAGGUCUGUUGGUAAAGGAGGCUCCUGGGCUUUCUAAAUGGUGCUGAAAGACCUUUUCACAGAAGAUGCCACAACGGAGUCGGUCUGUUUCAAUGUCAGCCGCCUGUCUUACCUUUUCACGUGGGCUGAGCUGUGAAAUGAGAUGUGAAAAAUGUUUCCCUUCACCUUAUGAAUGGAUGGCCUGUGUUUGUUCCUCCAGCAUGGCCGCCCGGUGUUUCUGGGAUGCGGACACAGACAACUAUGCUCAGGAUGUUUUCAUGAAUGACAGCCUCUUCUGUGUGGCAGUGGCCUUUGGCUGUUUCUUCUAUUGACACAGAUGAAAAUGU